UGCAAUCUACCUUUCACAGAGGGAUAGCCCAGAGAAAUUUGGAUUAAUACCUCAUAGUAUUAUAGAAUGGCAUCAUUUUAUAAUUAAAGUCACAACGGUGAAAGAUGAGCAUGCGUCCCAUUAGCUAGAUGGUAAGGUAACGGCUUACCAAGGCAACGAUGGGUAGGGGUCCCGAGAGGGAGAUCC
rnacentral:rRNA from 1 species